GUGGCGCCCAUUGGUCCAGGGCGCCUGACUGGGGGUCAGGAGAGCGAAGGUUCAAAUCCUCUCACUCCGACCA
rnacentral:tRNA from 1 species